UUAUCGCGGCGAAAAGCGAGGCCGUCGAUGCCCACGCCCGCAUCGUGUCAAUCCAAAACGAUUAUGAUACCUUGGUUGGGGUAGCGAGGAGGGAUGCAGAAUCGGCGACGCUUGUGUGUCUUGAGAGCAUGAAAGCAAACUCCCACCUCUGUAUCCUAUAGCGAGGGAAAGAGGUCACCGAGGCUCGAGUCGCGGCCUUGGAGGAGCUGGGCAGUCAAACUAAGAAGGAGGAGAAUCUCCUAGCCUCUUUGCAAGGGGGAAUUCGACGCCGCCGAGGGGAACUUUGUCGAGGUGCAAAGCCACCUGAAGGAGCUGGAAAAGGAGAGGCAUCUCCUGCUAGAGGUGGUGAGCGCCAUGCAUGGGCGCUUUGGAGAACUUCCUUUGCCUGGGUCUGAGUCAAUUGUCUCCCGCUUUGAGGGCCUCACUAGCUAGCUACGUGAGAUUGAGAAGGAAUCCUUCUGCCAAGGGAUCUGCCAGGCCUUUGCCGUCGUGACAUCUCACUUUGAAGGGGGGUCGAGCUAGAAGACGUAAGCGAAGGCUACUGUGAUGCUUGGAGUGAUUUGGAUUUCGUCGGCAUGGUGAAGGCCGUCAAGCCCUUUUCCUAGAAGCUAGGUGCCUCCCUGCUCGGCAACACACCGCAUGGGGGGUCAAGGUGGACCUGCACCUUUGUGACAACUGUGGGAAAAGAAGGGGCCUUCCUUUCUCGAACACCU
rnacentral:lncRNA from 7 species